rnacentral:tRNA from 1 species
GUCCCCGUCGUCUAGUUCGGUCAAGGACACGGGCCUUUCGAGCCCGGAACACGGGUUCAAAUCCCGUCGGGGACG